GGAUGAAGAUGGUAUCAUUCACCUCAUGAACUACGGAGCCAGGACACGAAAUGAACUUUUUCUGUGUAGCCAUGUAUCAUACCGUAGCAUCCGCUGGCACCCUUAGUACAGAGACGAUCCAUAAAGUUAGCUUGAGAGGUUACCACUCCCAAGACUCAGUGGCAGGACAGAACAUGGACACACACGGACACUUCCCUGAUGCGACACCAGGCAGCUGGGUUUGCGCUCACCUUCAUCAACUGUCUAAACCAUCAGAUUCUGCACAUCAGUGACUGAAUCCUACCUACAUGCUGCUACUGUAGCAAACGCUUCUGCUACAAAAGCAGAAACCAAAGUCUGAGGGCACAGGGACAUCUUAAACUGCCACAGUUUUGCACUAGGUGACCAUGUAUCACUGUUACCUAAAUCCCUGCCUCUACUAGAGUCUGUCAGUGCACCAGUACCAGCCAAGUCUUAUUAUGAAAAGUUACUUUAGGUCAACAUGCGAGUUCAGUGGGAGCAUACGUUUUAGCAGUUUCCCAGAAGAAAAAAAAUAAAAAAAGGAAAAACAUUUACUUUUUCCAUAAUGGCAUCUUCUCUAGAUUUUUCUCCUAGUAUAAAUAUGUUUCUUAUGGCUACAAUUUUCUACUCAUCCUUCUGAUGGACCUAUAUUGGAAAAACUUUUAAAUACUGACUGUGACUUUCUACCCAUUCAGCCAAACAAAUAUAUUUUUUACCCCACCUUCUUUCUCAUAGAAUUAUACACAGACAUAUGCCAUUAAAAGGUCAUUCUACAGUACCUAUUACUUUGGGGGGGUGGGUGGGUGUGAAAUGUAAAAAAAAUCAGGAGCUGCAAAUUAAGUACAGUGUUAUCAGAUCCAUCUGUAAAAAUAAUCCUCUCAUUUGGAUGCCUCAAACAGAAUACAGCUACAACUAAUACCCCUUCUUAAAUGCCAGGAUUAUUCCUCCCUAGACAGAGGGUGCUUUCAUGCUCAGAUUUGGAUUUUGUGUGAAGCAGGGAGUUAGUCAGCGAAGUUUUUACUAUCGUUUGUCCCAGCGUGCUCUGAAGCCUGUAGUGCCAAAGUCCUCACUGCAGCCAGUUCCGUUCUUCCCCGCCGUUUCUAAUCGUGGCAGAUUCUUUAUUCUGUACGCAAGCUCAGGAGCAACCCUCAAUGCCUGUGAAGUUCGCUCAGGUAGCACUGGGAUAGGAAGUGAUUUACAUUUGCUGUAUGUAAAAAUAAAGUUAAACAGAGCAAGAAACGUAUUCACCCUUGAAUCUGUCUUCCCAAUAAAGCAGUUUAAACGA